CCUACGGGAGGCAGCAGUAGGGAAUAUUGCUCAAUGGGGGAAACCCUGAAGCAGCCACGCCGCGUGGAGGAUGAAGGUUUUCGGAUUGUAAACUCCUUUUGUUAGAGGAGAUAAUGACGGUAUCUAACGAAUAAGCACCGGCUAACUCCGUGCCAGCAGCCGCGGUAAUACGGAGGGUGCAAGCGUUACUCGGAAUCACUGGGCGUAAAGCGCGCGUAGGCGGGAUAGCAAGUCAGAUGUGAAAUCCUAUGGCUUAACCAUAGAACUGCAUUUGAAACUGUUAUUCUAGAGUAUGGGAGAGGUAGGUGGAAUUCGUGGUGUAGGGGUAAAAUCCGUAGAGAUCAAGAGGAAUACUCAUUGCGAAGGCGACCUGCUAGAACAUAACUGACGCUGAUGCGCGAAAGCGUGGGGAGCAAACAGGAUUAGAUACCCCAGUAGUC
rnacentral:rRNA from 1 species